rnacentral:lncRNA from 1 species
CUCAUCUAGAUAAUUAAUAGGGUAGUCCAUCCAUUUUGUUGAAAAGCCACAUAUCUUAGAAAUUUCUGUUGCACCCUUUCAAUUUUAUGGACAUGUUCAUUAUUGUAUGAGAAUACCUCUCAACAACACCACCCAUUUGAAACGAUUUAAUUAAUUAAUACAUUGAAUAUGUGAAUUGAAACUUACAAUGCCGUAGCAUUAUGGUAUCACCUAUAAAAUAAGAGUGAGUCAAAGGUUCUCUACACCUAUAAAAGAAUAUGAAAUAACUUUUCCCAGCAUUUAAAUUAUAUACAAGCACCAAUCGUUAAGUUGUACUAAAUCUGACUGAAGCUUGAAGCAGUCAUCUGUGAAUGAAUCUCUAUUAUCAAAAAAGAAUAGCAGUUUGAGAGAUCAUUUAUAUAGAGGUUAAACAACAGAGGCUCCAGGUGAGACUUGUGUAGAACACUAGAGCAUACUGAAAUCUCAUGUGACUUAUAGUCAAAAAUUCUAACAGCUUGUGUUCGAUCAGUAGAUCUCUACACUAUUUCCACCUGAUCCAGACACUAUUAAGAAAUUGAAGCAAUGAUAUAGGAAACGGUGGAAAAGUCGUACUCUCAUUCAUAUAUCCCUAUCUCAUUCUGAAAAUUAGAGUAGUAUGGGAAUAAAGUGAUGUUUUUCGAGUAUAAUUAGACCAAUUACGAAAUAAAAACACUAUUUCCAGGCGAUCCGAACACUAGUAAGAAAUUGAAGCAAUGAUAUAGGAAAAGGUGGAAAAGUUAAACUCUCAUUCAUUUAUCCCUAUCUCAGUUUGAGAAUUAGAAGAGUAUGUGAAUAGAGUGAUGUUUUUCGGGUAUAAUUUGACCAAUUACGAAAUAAAAACACUAUUUCCAGGCGAUCCGAACACUAGUAAGAAAUUGAAGCAAUGAUAUAGGAAAAGGUGGAAAAGUCGACCUCUCAUUCAUAUAUCUCUAUCUCAGUCUGAGAAUUAGAAGAAUAUGGGAACAAAGUGAUGUUUUUCGAGUAUAAUUAGACCAAUUACGAAAUAAAAACACUAUUUCCAGGCAAUCCGAACACUAGUAAGAAAUUGAAGCGAUGAUAUAGGAAACGGUGGAAAAGUCGUACUCUCAUUCAUAUAUCUCUAUCUCAGUCUGAGAAUUAGAAGAAUAUGGGAACAAAGUGAUGUUUUUCGAGUAUAAUUAGACCAAUUACGAAAUAAAAACACUAUUUCCAGGCGAUCCGAACACUAGUAAGAAAUUGAAGCAAUGAUAUAGGAAAAGGUGGAAAAGUCGACCUCUCAUUCAUAUAUCUCUAUCUCAGUCUGAGAAUUAGAAGAAUAUGGGAACAAAGUGAUGUUUUUCGAGUAUAAUUAGACCAAUUACGAAAUAAAAACACUAUUUCCAGGCGAUCCGAACACUAGUAAGAAAUUGAAGCAAUGAUAUAGGAAAAGGUGGAAAAGUUAAACUCUCAUUCAUUUAUCCCUAUCUCAGUUUGAGAAUUAGAAGAGUAUGUAAAUAGAGUGAUGUUUUUCGGGUAUAAUUUGACCAAUUACGAAAUAAAAACACUAUUUCCAGGCAAUCCGAACACUAGUAAGAAAUUGAAGCGAUGAUAUAGGAAAAGGUGGAAAAGUUAAACUCUCAUUUAUUUAUCCCUAUCUCAGUUUGAGAAUUAGAAGAGUAUGUGAAUAGAGUGAUGUUUUUCGGGUAUAAUUUGACCAAUUACGAAAUAAAAACACUAUUUCCAGGCGAUCCGAACACUAGUAUUAAAUCGAAGCAAUGAUAUAGGAAAAGGUGGAAAAGUCGACCUCUCAUUCAUAUAUCUCUACCUCAGUCUGAGAAUUAGAAGAAUAUGGGAACAAAGUGAUGUUUUUCGAGUAUAAUUAGACCAAUUACGAAAUAAAAACACUAUUUCCAGGCAAUCCGAACACUAGUAAGAAAUUGAAGCGAUGAUAUAGGAAAAGGUGGAAAAGUUAAACUCUCAUUCAUUUAUCCCUAUCUCAGUUUGAGAAUUAGAAGAGUAUGUGAAUAGAGUGAUGUUUUUCGGGUAUAAUUUGACCAAUUACGAAAUAAAAACACUAUUUCCAGGCGAUCCGAACACUAGUAAGAAAUUGAAGCAAUGAUAUAGGAAAAGGUGGAAAAGUCGACCUCUCAUUCAUAUAUCUCUAUCUCAGUCUGAGAAUUAGAAGAAUAUGGGAACAAAGUGAUGUUUUUCGAGUAUAAUUAGACCAAUUACGAAAUAAAAACACUAUUUCCAGGCAAUCCGAACACUAGUAAGAAAUUGAAGCAAUGAUAUAGGAAAAGGUGAAAAAGUCGACCUCUCAUUCAUAUAUCCCUAUCUCAUUCUAAAAAUUAGAGGAGUAUGGGAAUAGAGUGAUGUUUUUUAGGUAUAAUUUGACCAAUUACGAGA